GCGAGGGUGGCGGAAUUGGUAGACGCACUGGAUUUAGGUUCCAGCGGCCUAGCCGUAGGGGUUCGAGUCCCCUCUCUCGCA
rnacentral:tRNA from 1 species